rnacentral:rRNA from 1 species
GACGAACGUUGGCGGCGUGCUUAACACAUGCAAGUCGAACGGAAAGGCCCUGCUUUUGUGGGGUGCUCGAGUGGCGAACGGGUGAGUAACACGUGAGUAACCUGCCCUUGACUUUGGGAUAACUUCAGGAAACUGGGGCUAAUACCGGAUAGGAGCUCCUGCUGCAUGGUGGGGGUUGGAAAGUUUCGGCGGUUGGGGAUGGACUCGCGGCUUAUCAGCUUGUUGGUGGGGUAGUGGCUUACCAAGGCUUUGACGGGUAGCCGGCCUGAGAGGGUGACCGGCCACAUUGGGACUGAGAUACGGCCCAGACUCCUACGGGAGGCAGCAGUGGGGAAUAUUGCACAAUGGGCGGAAGCCUGAUGCAGCAACGCCGCGUGCGGGAUGACGGCCUUCGGGUUGUAAACCGCUUUCGCCUGUGACGAAGCGUGAGUGACGGUAAUGGGUAAAGAAGCACCGGCUAACUACGUGCCAGCAGCCGCGGUGAUACGUAGGGUGCGAGCGUUGUCCGGAUUUAUUGGGCGUAAAGGGCUCGUAGGUGGUUGAUCGCGUCGGAAGUGUAAUCUUGGGGCUUAACCCUGAGCGUGCUUUCGAUACGGGUUGACUUGAGGAAGGUAGGGGAGAAUGGAAUUCCUGGUGGAGCGGUGGAAUGCGCAGAUAUCAGGAGGAACACCAGUGGCGAAGGCGGUUCUCUGGGCCUUUCCUGACGCUGAGGAGCGAAAGCGUGGGGAGCGAACAGGCUUAGGUACCCUGGUAGUCCACGCUGUAAACGGUGGGUACUAGGUGUGGGGUCCAUUCCACGGGUUCCGUGCCGUAGCUAACGCUUUAAGUACCCCGCCUGGGGAGUACGGCCGCAAGGCUAAAACUCAAAGGAAUUGACGGGGCCCCGCACAAGCGGCGGAGCAUGCGGAUUAAUUCGAUGCAACGCGUAGAACCUUACCUGGGUUUGACAUGGAUCGGGAGUGCUCAGAGAUGGGUGUGCCUCUUUUGGGGUCGGUUCACAGGUGGUGCAUGCCUGUCGUCAGCUCGUGUCGUGAGAUGUUGGGUUAAGUCCCGCAACGAGCGCAACCCUUGUUCACUGUUGCCAGCACGUUAUGGUGGGGACUCAGUGGAGACCGCCGGGGUCAACUCGGAGGAAGGUGGGGAUGACGUCAAGUCAUCAUGCCCCUUAUGUCCAGGGCUUCACGCAUGCUACAAUGGCUGGUACAGAGAGUGGCGAGCCUGUGAGGGUGAGCGGAUCUCGGAAAGCCGGUCUCAGUUCGGAUUGGGGUCUGCAACUCGACCUCAUGAAGUCGGAGUCGCUAGUAAUCGCAAAUCAGCAACGCUGCGGUGAAUACGUUCCCGGGGCU